CUGCUGAGAGAGAGAAGCAGCGUCUGAUCUGCAGCCUCUGUGGCAGCUGUUGAUCAGACAUUGCCUCUCUCUUUCUUUCCA
rfam:Myotis lucifugus cont2.357, whole genome shotgun sequence.